GAUUGAAGAACGCAGCGAAAUGCGAUAAGUAAUGUGAAUUGCAGAAUUCAGUGAAUCAUCGAAUCUUUGAACGCAUCUUGCGCUCCUUGGUAUUCUGAGGAGCAUGCCUGUUUGAGUGUCAUUAAAUUCUCAACUACACUGACUUUGAAUUGGUGUGGCUUGGAUUUGGGGGGAAAAUUGUUGUGGGCUUUUUGUAUAGUCUGCUCCCCUGAAAUUGAUUAGCGGUACCUUUGUGGAACUGUCUACAGGUGUGAUAAUUAUCUACAUCUUAGACAUCUGCUGGAAUGCUGCUCUCUAAACCUUACUUGUAUUGACAAUCUUGACCUCAAAUCAGGUAGGACUACCCGCUGAACUUAAGCAUAUCAAUAAGCGGAGGA
rnacentral:misc_RNA from 1 species